rnacentral:lncRNA from 1 species
UUAAAUGUUUUCUUUAGAGGACGUGGGUGUACUAAGGGAAUGAGGUGAUUGAGGAUAAAUUAUAUAAUUGUAUUCACUAGUUGUCAUUUGACAACGAUCAUGAUUUUUUUUUCUUCUAAUUUUUUAGUUUCCACGUUAUGUUCAUGUGUUGUGAUUGUAUUUUUUUUUCUCUUUGCUUAUUUUUUCCAACAACUGAUAUCAAAGCUUUUG